rnacentral:rRNA from 1 species
UACGAAGGGGGCUAGCGUUGCUCGGAAUCACUGGGCGUAAAGCGCACGUAGGCGGCUUUUUAAGUCAGGGGUGAAAUCCUGGAGCUCAACUCCAGAACUGCCUUUGAUACUGAGAAGCUUGAGUCCGGGAGAGGUGAGUGGAACUGCGAGUGUAGAGGUGAAAUUCGUAGAUAUUCGCAAGAACACCAGUGGCGAAGGCGGCUCACUGGCCCGGUACUGACGCUGAGGUGCGAGAGCGUGGGGAGCGAACCGG